UGCAUGGCUUCCCUUAGAGUGUAAACUCCUGGAACCAAGAGAUUUGCCAAGCUUAGAGCUUAGCAGAUAAAAGAUGCAUUAAAAAUGAAGCCAGCAGGAGUGCCCCGGCUUCGGCUGGCAUCGUCAUGAUGAAGUCUGAGGAGGGCACCCCAGGCUCACCUGCUCAGCCGCUCUGGCUGUCCUUGGCUCUACCUGCCGGUCCACACCCUCCUGAUGAAAGGAGCACAUCUCCCGGCUUGUUCUAGCACUUCGGGGUUUCUUGGCAUGACACCCUGUGCAGGAUUAAGUGCCUUUGUAGUGGCUGCUUGCUCUUUCCCCUCUCCUUUCGUGAGGACGCUCUCCAAGGCACACUCAAUCAAGCCCCUUUUGUUCCCUGGGCCUUUUGAAGGCUUCCGGAGAGGAAAUGAGAGUGCUCUUUAAAGCCCAGUCUACAAGGAGCCCUGCAAAGCACAGCCUUCUUGCCAGCCCCCACUGUGGCCUGGCUCCGUGAGUCAGGGUGCCACAGGUGGGCUCAGCUCUGGGCUCCCCGAGCCAGGCUCUCCCUGGAAAGGUGCUCAGGGAUGUCCCCAGCCCGCAUGGGCGGCCAGGACGCCACAUGGGACUUCUUCACACCAGAGUCAGUCCUCCAAACUGGCAAGAAGCCACAGAGCGGGUAACAGGCUUAGGUGCCCUUGGUUAUGAGACUGUCACCCAAGGUCAUUACUGGAGCCGGGUUCCCUGCCCCAGGGCACAGCUGAUGAUUGCAAGGACAUGUGCCCCAACUUUGGGUCCGCACACAGAAGAGGUGGUCCAGGCCUGCCUUCCCCUGGGGCCCGUCCCCUGACUCUUUGCACGAUUGCCCCUGGCCAAGUCCUUCCAAUCAACCACCCACUGAUGGAGACAGUCUGCCAAAGCAGCCGCCAGGCAUGGGAGCUUCUUGGAGGUCCCAGAGAUCCUAAGAGAGCCAGCAGUCGACCUCAAGAACCCUCAAUAGCAGCAGUUCUUAACGAGGGGGUGAAUUUGUCCCCCCCAGGGGACACUUGGCAAUGUCGGGAGACAUUUUUGAUUGUCUCCAAGUUGUGCUACUGGCAGCCAGUGGGUAGAGACCAAGGAUGCCGGUAAACAUCCAACAGUGACCAAGACAGUCUCCCACAAAUGGACAAUUAUCCAGCCAGAAUGUCUAUGAUGCUCCGUUGAGGAACCCUGACCCAAAGUAUUCCAGACACUUCGUCAUCCAAGCUCGUCCUGACUAUCCCCCCGCAGGGAUGGGGGACUCACUACCUUACGCUGUGAAGAGGCAGUGUGAUGAAGCAACGGAUCUGAAGCCCGCGUUAGCCACUUGCUGCAACUGUGAGCAAGUAACUCAGCUUCUCCGCACCUCGCCGUCUCUCCAUGGAAAUGGAGCCAAUAACUGGAUGUCCCAGGAUUGUUACCAAUGAGUUCAUGACUACAAAACAUCUAGCACUGCACCCCCCACACAAAAGGCACUUAAACCAAAGCAGACCUAACCCCAUGGCUGCUGCCAGUCCACUGCCUGCCACAAAGCAUCUGCUAAGUCCCCAGCCUGCCUCGAUGACGCCGUCACAGAUAGGAAACGCAGAAGAUGUUCACUGCAGGGUUAACUACACUCGUAACACCCUGACGGUGACCUACAUGUUUAACAGGAGGGAAAUCGUUUUUAAUGUAUUGCUAUCACAGCAACACAACGGGACAGACUGCAGCUGUUUUAGGUCAUUGUUGGAAAGACUUGGAGAAGUAAAGAUAUGUUUAAGAUUAUACAAUACAUAAAAAUAAAAUAAAAUUGAAAGCACACUAUAGUUGCACCUAGAAAA